UACGGAGGGUGCAAGCGUUAAUCGGAAUCACUGGGCGUAAAGCGCGCGUAGGCCGCCUUCUAAGUCGGACGUGAAAGCCCUCGGCUCAACCGAGGAACUGCGUUCGAAACUGGGAGGCUUGAGUCCUGGAGAGGGUGGCGGAAUUCCGGGUGUAGGAGUGAAAUCCGUAGAUAUCCGGAGGAACACCGGUGGCGAAGGCGGCCACCUGGACAGGUACUGACGCUGAGGCGCGAAAGCGUGGGGAGCAAACAGG
rnacentral:rRNA from 1 species